AUGCCCAUACUGCGGAGACGUGACAUGUAUACAGCUCAUACUCUCCGCCACCAUUGGAGGGCGGUGUGGUUCAGCAAAUUCAUCUCGUAGCGUUAUGUAAACGCGUUUUUAUUUUAUACGAGGAACAUAAGAACAAUUGGAGCGCCGAAACUUGGAUUCUCUUUACAUUUGGACUUUCAGCAGUACAGGCCACUCUCUCCAAAAAGAUCCUAUUGGUGCCUGGAAGAGGAGCUAUAAAUAAACAAAUCUAUCUGCUGUAACAAAGAGAGACACUGAGCUCACGGUUAUGAUAGAGAAUGCCAUCGGAAGCAUGUCCCUACGAGAGGAGUGUGUCAGUACUGAUGUGUUAUUCAUCAAGCAGGGCGUGCAUGCAGUUGUCUGCCAGGAAACUGAUCGUCAGGCCAACACCAACAAAAAAUUCUGCAAUAGUCUGUCCAUCCCCCUCAGCUCCUUCUGUCUGACACCUCCUGCAUCCAAGCACCGCUUGCUUUUUAAGGCACUUAUGCUGUCUUUGAUUACUUGUCUCAGACACACUGCUCAAGGCAGCUUUCUGUAAUAUUACACUUUUCCUCACAACCAUGAGGUAAGUGUCUCACUUUGUUACACUUGAAAAAACACUUUGAUAAUAAGGAGCUGUUGUGUACUUUACUCACUCUGUACACCUAGGGCCUAAUUCAGAUGUGGUUGGAGGUAUGGCACAUGCCGCAAAGUACCGAUGUAUGGUAGUUUGCGCAUGCACCGGACCUUUACUGCGCUUAUGCAGUAAGGGUCUGCGACGUUGGAUGCAGAUCGGCAGCAGACUGUCAGUGUCGCAGUCAUUGUGGGGGGGGUGGUGAGGCAAGGAACUCUUUGUUGGAUAUGCUGUUGCCCACUUGCACGACCCCAUGGGUUACGCAGCUGUCCGAUGGUGUUGCAGAUGAUCCAAUGCUGCAUCCUAGGAUGCAGCUGAGAUCACUAAUGCAAGCAGAAGGCAUGGCUGCAUUACCAUAUUAGUGAUAUCGCUGCUGCUUCCCUGUAAGCAGCAGUGAUAGCAACGCCAGCCACAUUUGAAUAAGGCCCCUAGUCUUGAUCAGUGGCAUCAGGAUGGGGGUGCGGCCUGCACCCGGGUGUCAUCCUCAGAUGGGGUGACACCAAAAUUCCGGCUCCAUUGCAGUAACAGGAGUCGGUGCUGCAGUGUGACAUUCUCCGUCAAUACCCGCUCCCGUCAUUGAAGAGGAGCCGACACUGCAGGAAGCCCAGUCUCCGGAGGCAGCCCAGCAGAUACUGGAGUGCCACGGGCUACAGAGGACGCACCAGGUGACACCAGACUCGGUGAUGCCGCUGGUCUUGAUGAUCAUCACAGCCAGGGGCGAAUUUAGGGAUCAGGGCGCCCCUAGGCACAACAUUAUUGGUCGCUCCAUCACAUUAAUUUCAGAGUUGGUUCAAAUGCUUUCAGACUGCCAAAGCAGCCGAAACCUCCCCUUCCCCCUAAUUUACCCACCAUUGUCCCUGCCAGUUACAAAAUAUAAAAAUAAGUUGUAAUGACAAACAAAAAACUCCAAAAGAAUCAUCUGGCCUCAUCUGGCCAGUGGCCUUAUAGGCCUCCCAUGUAGGGGAGCAUGCUGUGCCCUUCCCCUAGCAAGUGUCACCCCUAGGUACAUGCCUCAUGUGCCUAGUGGGAAAUCCACCACUGAUCACAACCUGGCUACCAACAUAGUAAUGAAACUGACAUGAUCAUCAUCAAAGAAAGCGAUCCUGAGUAGUGGGGAGAUAAAAGGCUGCUUAUACAAUAGUGACAUUGUGCUGCUGAACUCACAUUUAGGACAGUACUUCUACUGAGAAGAGUAACUACCACCAUAGCAGUCUGUGCUGCUAUAGGGCCUGACUUUGUGUAUUAAGACCAAUGAUGCGUGGCAAUCUAGUUCACAUGGUCUUCUCAGCAUGGGUAAAGGAUGAGCCUGGUAGAGCCUUGUUUAGCUUUCAGUAGAUCUGUUGUGUGCAUGGGCAACUCCAGAGAAGCAAAAUUGGGGAUUUCGAUGCAUGAAGUAGAUAUAUAUCAUUGGAGCCCUCCCUCCAUUGGAAGGCUUCAUAAAGUGAGGUUAGUGUGCAUAGAUAGAUAAACAGACAGAUAUGUAUAUCCAUAUAGAUAAUUUUGUUCAUUAUAAGCUUUAGGAAUUAGAAAGCUUUAUUUGCAGCAGUUAAUACAUACUCAAAUGUCAGCAGUAUGAGUGCAGGGAAAAUGGGCUAUAUUUACGGAACACUGAACAGCAUGCUUUACUGGUGCCCAAGGGAGUUCCUAUAAUUAAUUUUACAUCAAGGAAAAUACUGCUCAGUGUCUGCUUGGAAGGGACUGGUUUCAGUCAACUGAUCUUUUGCUUUUUUAACCACUGUGGCAAAGAAUAAGGUCAACACAAUGCAAAAGAUGUGUGUAACAUGCUCUAUGAGUGGUUUCACUCUGCUGUGCUUGCCAUGUCAAUGUAGUGAUUAUAUUUACCAGGGUGAUUUUCUUUAUUAAGAUGUACCUUUGUGUGAUAAUGCAUAUAUACCAUGUACCUGUACCCCUAAAUCGUGUUCGAUAAUACUAUGCGCCUGUUAAUCCAAAUAAAUGCUUGCUAUGCCA